AGCAAAAUGAUGAGGAACUGUUUAGCUGAAAUAUUAUGUUGAAUAUAUCAUAUGCCUUCAAAGUUCUCUGAUGCAUUGCU